rnacentral:sRNA from 1 species
UUUUGCAAAACCAGAGGAUGCUUCUGGAAGGUGUGACUACACAGGUGGCACAUAAGAAAUCCAGUCUACAGACAUCUGCAAAGCAAAUUGAGGACAGGAUUUUUGAAGUGAAGCAUCAGCAUAGGAAGGUGGAAAACCAGAUCAAAAUGGCCAAGAUGGUUCUGAUGAAUGAGCUGAACAAACAGGCCAAUGGGCUAAUAGAGGAAUUAGAGGGGAUUACUAAUGAGAGAAAGCGGAAGCUGGAACAGCAGUUACAGAGCAUCAUGGUUCUCAACCGUCAGUUUGAGCAUGUGCAGAAUUUCAUCAACUGGGCUGUCUGCAGCAAAACCAGUGUCCCUUUUCUUUUCAGCAAAGAGCUGGUAAGAGGAAUCUCCCAAC